UCUGGGCAUGGUGGCCCAUGCCUGUAGUCCCAGCUACUCAGGAGGCUGAGGCAGAAGGAUUGGUUGAGCCCAGGAGAUUGAGGUUGCUGUGAGCCAGGCUGACGCCACGGCACUCACUCACUCUAGCCUGGGCAACAAAGUGAGACUCUGUCUCAAAAAAAAAAUUUCUGCCAAGAUCAUGUAUUAUUUCUUGGUUAAAAACAAUUUUUGUUUUUGACACAGAGUCUUGCUUUGUUGCUCAGGCUAGAGUGAGUGCCGUGGCAACAGCCUGGCUCACAGCAACCUCAAACUCCUGGGCUCAACCGAUCCUCCUGCCUCA
rnacentral:SRP_RNA from 1 species